GACAUAGCUCAUCAGUAGAGUACUUGCCUAGCAUACAUGAGGCCCUGGGUUCAAUCCCCAGUACUGUUA
rnacentral:tRNA from 1 species